GGCAAGGUGGCCGAGUGGUUAAGGCGCAGCACUUGAAAUGCUGUUCAUUCGUGAUCGUAGGUUCGAAUCCUGCCCUUGUCG
rnacentral:tRNA from 1 species